ACAUGCAGUGGUCUCAGCACAUCUUUCCAGGUGAUUAUGCCUGCUCCAUGCACCAGAUGAUCUCCCACUUGGAACAAUGUCGAGCUGCUGGACCUCAUCAGCAUUUGGGGAGAGGAGGCUGUCCAGCCUCAGCUGCGCUCCAGCCUUAGGAAUUAUGAUAUCCACAGACAGGUGUCACGAUGUAUGACAGAAAGGGGCCAUGAUCCGGACACAUUGCAGUGCAGGGUCAAAGUGAAGAAGCUGCGGAACUCCUACCACAAGGUGCAGGAGGCAAACCACCACUCCGGUGCUGUGCCCACGAGCUGCUGGUUCUACAAAGAGCUGGACGUGACACUUGGUGGCGACCCCACCUCCACUGCAAAGGGCAAUGUGGAUACUUCGGUGGCUUGUGUGCCAGUCAAGGGUGGACCAAGCCAGGAGGAGAAAAUCUUGGAUGAGGAGGCGGAGGGGGACUCAGAGGCAGAGGAUGACUCGGAAGUCAGAGAUGCAUGCAGCCAGGAGCUCUUCUCUACCCCAGAGGAGGCUAGCCAGUGUUAGAGCUUGGCAAAGUGCAAAUAGGAGUGGAGGCCCCUGAUAUGACCUUGGGAGCCUAGCCUCCCUCUUUGUUAUCGCUGGCUGAAUGGCUGCGCAGAAUUAGAAAGUGGCCACGAAGAACUAAAGAGGACUUCCUGCGUGAUGUCAUGAUGAACU